rnacentral:rRNA from 1 species
AGUUGGUGAGGUAACGGCUCACCAAGGCGACGAUGCGUAGCCGACUUGAGAGGGUGAUCGCCCACACUGGGACUGAGACACGCCCCAGACUACUACGGGAGGCAGCAGUAGGGAUUCUUCCGCAUUGGACGAAAGUCUGACGGAGCACCGCCGCGUGAGUGAUGAGGGUUUCCGGAUCGUAAAACUCUGUGGUUAGGGAGGACCAAGUAUCGUUCGAUUAGGCCGGUACUUUGACGGUACUUAACAAGAAAGCCACGGCUAACUACGUGCCAGCAGCCGCGGUAAUACGUAGGUGGCAAGCGUUGUCCGGAAUUAUUGGGCGUAAAGCGCGCGCAGGCGGUUUCUUAAGUCUGAUGUGAAAGCCCACGGCUCACCCGUGGAGGGUCAUUGGAAACUGGGAGACUUGAGUGCAGAGGAGAGGAGCGGAAUUCCACGUGUAGCGUGAAAUGCGGUAGAGAUGUGGAGGAACACCAGUGCCGAAGGCGGCUCUUUGGUCUGUAACUGACGCUGAGGCGCGAAAGCGU